rnacentral:rRNA from 1 species
CGAUACGAGUUUGAUCCUGGCUCAGAAUCAACGCUGGCGGCGUGCCUCAGACAUGCAAGUCGAACGAUUAAAGCUCUCUUCGGAGAGUGUAUAGAGUGGCGCACGGGUGAGUAACACGUAAGUAAUCUACCCUCGAGUGGGGAAUAACAACCGGAAACGGUUGCUAAUACCGCAUAAUGCAGCGGCACCGCAAGGUGACAGUUGUUAAAGAUUUAUCGCUUGAGGAGGAGCUUGCGGCAGAUUAGCUAGUUGGUAGGGUAACGGCUUACCAAGGCUACGAUCUGUAACCGGUCUAAGAGGACGGUCGGUCACACUGACACUGAAUAACGGGUCAGACUCCUACGGGAGGCAGCAGUCGGGAAUUUUGGGCAAUGGGCGAAAGCCUGACCCAGCAACGCCGCGUGAAGGAUGAAGUAUUUCGGUAUGUAAACUUCGAAAGAAUAGGAAGAAUUAAUGACGGUACUAUUUAUAAGGUCCGGCUAACUACGUG